rnacentral:rRNA from 1 species
UACGGAGGAGGCAAGCGUUAUCCGGAUUUAUUUGGCGUAAAGCGUCCGCAGGUGGUUUAUCAAGUCUGCUGUUAAAGCGCGAAGCUUAACUUCGUAAGGGCAGUGGAAACUGAUGAACUAGAGGGUGAUAGGGGCAGAGGGAAUUCCCAGUGUAGCGGUGAAAUGCGUAGAGAUUGGGAAGAACACCGGUGGCGAAAGCGCUCUGCUGGGUCACACCUGACACUGAGGGACGAAAGCUAGGGGAGCGAAAGGG